AAUAAUCUUUUUUUGGAAAAUUUUUAUCAAAUUUUUAUCAAACAAAAAGUGCGUCACAAAAUUCCUACGAUAAGGAAAGCGUGUUAUCUGUUAACCGCAAAAAUUGAUUAUAAAAGUUCCGUUUUUUACACAUUUCACCAGUUUUAUUAAAACUAUCUUUGUGAGAAGUUGUAUGUGCUCCGCUGUGUAUUUUUGCAUUUAAAUUUCAAAGGAUUCUGUAAUGGCUGAUCAACUAUUAAAUCUGAAUAAAAUUGCUGCCUGUGAAUAUACUGAUACAUAUGUCAGUGCCAACGAUUUGGAAGUGAACAAGAAAUAUAAAAUCAUCAAUUUAACCAAGGCAAACACACAACAUGGGGUUAUGAUGGUAGCAUAUCUGGACAACGUCGGUAAAGUUUUUUUACCUAAACGACUAACAGCAGUUAUGAAUGAUACCAUAAUUACGACACUAAUGGAAGGACUCGGAUCUUAUUUGAUUUAUAUGGGACGUAAGCAAGCUAAUGGAAAUCAGGAACAUGAUGCCCACAUUUUUAAUUUCGAACGUAUUGUUCACGAAGAUUAAUGUAAAAUUUUUUGGUUUCCAAAAUAGACAGCACUAUCCACUCUACCUACCUGAGGUUCGACUCCCCAUGGAAGGAACAACAACAACAACAACUUUUUUUGCAUUAUAUUUUAAACAAAUAACAAAAUAAACUUGGUGCGCAACAGACAAGUUAGGCAAACAACAUUACAAAAAUAAAAAACUACAUAUACUA